rnacentral:rRNA from 1 species
AACGUAGGAGACAAACGUUAUCCGGAGUUACUGGGCGUAAAGGGCGUGUAGGUGGUAGUGUAAGUCUGGCGUGAAAUUUUUCGGCUUAACCGGGAAAGGUCGUCGGAUACUGCACAACUAGAGGACGGUAGAGGCGUGUGGAAUUCCGGGUGUAGUGGUGAAAUUCGUAGAUAUUCGGAAGAACACCAGUGGCGAAGGCGGCUCACUGGCCCGGUACUGACGCUGAUGUGCGAAAGCGUGGGGAGCAAAACAGG